ACCGGCGGCGGCGUGGGAGCGACGGGCGGUUCAAACGCCCAAUGCUGUUUGUAGACGGCCCCUUGUUCGAUCCAGGCUUUGAUG
rnacentral:tRNA from 1 species